ensembl:snoRNA small nucleolar RNA SNORA11
GGGGUGUGCUCAGAGAAGGUGGUCUGAAGAAUGGCUUCUCUGUUUACAACACUUAACAGGAAUCUAGGAUCACUGUGACAAAAGGCACAAAACUUGUGAUUUCUCUUUGGUGCAAAUGUCCAAACAUG